rnacentral:rRNA from 1 species
UACGGGGGAUGCAAGCGUUAUCCGGAUUUAUUGGGUUUAAAGGGUGCGUAGGCUGUGAGGUAAGUCAGCGGUGAAAUGCCCCCGCUCAACGGGGUGAAGUGCCAUUGAUACUGCCUUGCUGGAAUGCAGAUGCCGUGGGAGGAAUGUGUGGUGUAGCGGUGAAAUGCAUAGAUAUCACACAGAACACCGAUUGCGAAGGCAUCUCACGAAUCCGCGAUUGACGCUGAUGCACGAAAGCGUGGGUAUCAAACAGG